AUGUAUCUGGACGGUACGGCAGCCUUCGCUAUAAUUGAACCUACAGAUACUUUAAAAGGGACGCUUAUGCUUGGCUUUAUCAAUGUCAGGCCUCCAUCCGGGCUUGCCCGGACGCUUACGCGAGAGAGGAAGACAGCGCAUAAAGCGGCGGCAACCCACCUAGCCAAGCUAGGAGUCAAUCGGCGUAGGCACCGGCCGGCCGGAUCUUAA
rnacentral:other from 1 species